ACAUGUGUCCUAACUUAUUCGACACUGUCAAUUUAGUGUCCAAACUUGAAAAAUAUAUAAAAAUGGUGUUGUAAUUUGUCUGAACGAUUCAAAUACGAAGUAUGCUGCCAUAUCCAGUGCUUGUGUGGCAUGCUAGCAUAUUGCCGGGCGACAUGUCACUAUCACAAUUGUUUCUUUUCUCGGUUAUCUCAAAUGAUUCCAUU
rnacentral:lncRNA from 1 species